ensembl:lncRNA
CCGCGGGCCAGACGCCCCCCGCCCCAAAUCUUAGUGGAAAAGUCACUUUUUUUUAUAAAGCGAAUACAUUUCCAGGGCUAUUUUCGGCCGCGUAAGGCGUGUCCAGCAGCUGAAUCAGACAGGAAGAGGGGGAAAGUUCGGGUCUCUUUACUUUUUAUUUUUUUUCCAAGGGAGAAGAGGAAGAUGUGAGGUGGGCGAACGGACGGCAGGCGUUCCAGACCCCUGCCUGUCACAUCUGCCGCCCCAGGCACGCAGCCCGGGUUCGAGCUCGGACCUCGCCAGGGCGGCUGGAGAGCGCAAGCCCCCGCCCGGCUCUGUCCCCGCAGGGUCCAGGCGCCCCGGAGCCGCCGCGGGCAGGGGGCAGCCGUGCCCAGUCCCGGAAGCGCCCUCGCACCUGGUGUCCCUGGGUCUGGCCUGGGGUGGGGUGGGGCUCCCGACGGCUCAUCCCCACCCACUCACCCUCUGUCCCCGUGCGCUCCAGUUCCUGACCUGUCCCUCUCCUGGUGCACAUUUUUCUAACUCGUUGCUACCCCCCACUCUCCCACUCCAGCCGCUGCUUCUGCACCCCGUCCGGUUCCUCCCUGGUACCCCGGGCGCCCGGAGCCGGGGCUCGGACCCUCGGCCAUCUACUUUCAAGCCACCGUCGGGUUUUCGGUUUUGACUCUCUGUCCAUCCCUAAAUGGGAAAACCCCGACACAGCUCUGCUCUAGGGGGGGCAGUAAGGGCUGGGGGGAGGGCCUGAGCCCGAGCUCCCCUCCCCUCCCCCCACCCCGCCUGAGCGCCCCUCGGAGGACGCAGCUUCCCGUCGACGGCGGGAUCACCUGGCUGGGCGGCGUCCGCCAGGGUUUUGUACACUUUCCAACCGAAACUGCACAACGCGAGAGGUGGUGAGCCGGCCCGGGAGGGAAUAAGAGUCCAAUAAAACUGAAGUUCGCUAAAGGUUAUCACUGAUCCCUCGAAGGGUAGGAAUUUUUUUUCCCCUUGAGGCAUGGAAAAGGAAUAAGGAAGAGCCAACAUUCUCCUUACCCCCCGCCCCCAACAGUGACCAGUUUUGACUUAAAAGCUAGAGCACAAGUUUGGUUGUUUUUUUUUUUUUCUUUCCCCUCUAAACCUACGUCUACACUCAAAGAAAAUGCGCAGGUUUGCCCAGAAGGCAACGUUCCUUUUCCCGCGUGCGAGACGGUGUGCUUUUUAACAAGUAAAAU